rnacentral:rRNA from 1 species
AGUGACAAGAAAUAACAAUACGGGACUUUUUGGUUUUGUAAUUGGAAUGAGUUAAGUAUAAACCCCUUUACAAGUAUCAAUUGGAGGGCAAGUCUGGUGCCAGCAGCCGCGGUAAUUCCAGCUCCAAUAGCGUAUAUUAAAGUUGUUGCAGUUAAAAAGCUCGUAGUUGGAUUUCUGUUAAAUUGUUUAUAUAAAAUACUUUGUUAUUUAUAUAACGCUAACAUAAUUCACAUUACCUUUAAGUAUGUGAAAUUUUACUUUGAGAAAAUUAGAGUGCUUAAAGCAGG